rnacentral:rRNA from 1 species
CCUACGGGUGGCAGCAGUGAGGAAUAUUGGUCAAUGGACGAGAGUCUGAACCAGCCAAGUAGCGUGAAGGAUGACUGCCCUAUGGGUUGUAAACUUCUUUUAUAAAGGAAUAAAACACGGUAUGUGUGCCUUCUUGCCUGUACUUUAUGAAUACGGAUCGGCUAACUCCGUGCCAGCAGCAGCGGUAAUACGGAGGAUCCGAGCGUUAUCCGGAUUUAUUGGGUUUAAAGGGAGCGUAGAUGGGUUGUUAAGUCAGUUGUGAAAGUUUGCGGUUCAACCGUAAAAUUGCAUUAGAUACUGGCAGUCUAGAGUACAGUUGAGGUAGGCGGAAUUCGUGGUGUAGCGGUGAAAUGCUUAGAUAUCAAGAAGAACCCCGAUUGCGAAGGCAGCCUACUAAACUGUAACUGACAUUGAUGCGCGAAAGUGUGGGUAUCAAACAGGAUUAGAUACCCGGGUAGUC